UCUGCUCUAAAACUUUUUGGAAAAAGAAUUGAAAAAGAAAAAGAAAAAGAAAAGGAAAAAAGGGGGAGACAACCCUGGAGGCCAAGCCGAGGCCCAAGCCUCCCAUCCGCAGCCCAGCACCCCUGUCCCCCCGCCUCGGCCCAGUGCACGGCCCAGGAGCCGGCCCAACCGCGCGCUGACCCCCUCCUCCCCUUUCCAUCUCUGGCCGACAGCUGGGCCCCGCCCCUCUCUCUCUCUGACGCUCGGGCCCCGCACGUCAGCGGGCGCCUUCUCUUCCUCCUUGCGCCGUGUUCGAGCAGGACACGUUUCCACCCGAAUCAAUCCCGGG
rnacentral:lncRNA from 1 species